rnacentral:rRNA from 1 species
AUGUUCCCGUUCAAUUUCAAGAGGACAUAGUUUCCAGUGAGGCUCAGUUUUGCAAUGACAAUAAACAAAUCACAAGGUCAGACAAUACCAAAUGUCGGCGUCUACCUGCGUGAAUCGGUUUUCUCACAUGGUCAACUAUAUGUUGCGCUUUCUAGAGAGACCGCGACAUCAAACAUAAAGGUAUUAACGGGAGCACAUGAUGAGAAAAAGGGGAAGAAUAAGAAUAUCAGUACAUGA